rnacentral:rRNA from 1 species
CCUAACACAUGCAAGUCGAACGGUAACAGGAAGGAGCUUGCUUCUUUGCUGACGAGUGGCGGACGGGUGAGUAAUGUCUGGGAAACUGCCUGAUGGAGGGGGAUAACUACUGGAAACGGUAGCUAAUACCGCAUAACGUCGCAAGACCAAAGAGGGGGACCUUCGGGCCUCUUGCCAUCGGAUGUGCCCAGAUGGGAUUAGCUAGUAGGUGGGGUAACGGCUCACCUAGGCGACGAUCCCUAGCUGGUCUGAGAGGAUGACCAGCCACACUGGAACUGAGACACGGUCCAGACUCCUACGGGAGGCAGCAGUGGGGAAUAUUGCACAAUGGGCGCAAGCCUGAUGCAGCCAUGCCGCGUGUAUGAAGAAGGCCUUCGGGUUGUAAAGACUU